rnacentral:rRNA from 1 species
AUUGAACGCUAGCGGGAUGCUUUACACAUGCAAGUCGAACGAGUGGCGGACGGGUGAGUAAUAUAUCGGAACGUGCGCAGUAGCGGGGGAUAACUACUCGAAAGAGUGGAUAAUACCGCAUACUAGUGUAGCGGCCGAUAUCGGAAUAGCUAGUUGGUGGGGUAAAGGCUCACCAAGGCAAAGAUCCGUAGCUGGUUUGAGAGGAAGACCAGCCACACUGGGACUGAGACACGGCCACGACUCCUACGGGAGGCAGCAGUGGGGAAUUUUGGACAAUGGGGGAAAGCCUGAUCCAGCCAUCCCGCGUGUAUGAGAAGGCCGUCGGGUUGUAAAGUACUUUUAGCAGAGAAGCGGUAUCUGCAGAAUAAGCACCGGCUAACUACGUGCCAGCAGCCGCGGUAAUUC